UGGGGAAUAUUGCACAAUGGGCGCAAGCCUGAUGCAGCAACGCCGCGUGAGGGACGACGGCCUUCGGGUUGUAAACCUCUUUUAGUAGGGAAGAAGCGAAAGUGACGGUACCUGCAGAAAAAGCACCGGCUAACUACGUGCCAGCAGCCGCGGUAAUACGUAGGGUGCGAGCGUUGUCCGGAAUUAUUGGGCGUAAAGAGCUCGUAGGCGGUCUGUCGCGUCUGCUGUGAAAACCCGAGGCUCAACCUCGGGCCUGCAGUGGGUACGGGCAGACUAGAGUGCGGUAGGGGAGAAUGGAAUUCCUGGUGUAGCGGUGGAAUGCGCAGAUAUCAGGAGGAACACCGAUGGCGAAGGCAGUUCUCUGGGCCGUAACUGACGCUGAGGAGCGAAAGCGUGGGGAGCGAACAGGAUUAGAUACCCUGGUAGUCCACGCCGUAAACGUUGGGCGCUAGAUGUGGGGACCAUUCCACGGUUUCCGUGUCGCAGCUAACGCAUUAAGCGCCCCGCCUGGGGAGUACGGCCGCAAGGCUAAAA
rnacentral:rRNA from 1 species